rnacentral:rRNA from 1 species
AGUGAACGCUGGCGGUAGGCCUAACACAUGCAAGUCGAACGGCAGCACAGUAAGAGCUUGCUCUUACGGGUGGCGAGUGGCGGACGGGUGAGGAAUACAUCGGAAUCUACUUUUUCGUGGGGGAUAACGUAGGGAAACUUACGCUAAUACCGCAUACGACCUACGGGUGAAAGCAGGGGAUCUUCGGACCUUGCGCGAUUGAAUGAGCCGAUGUCGGAUUAGCUAGUUGGCGGGGUAAAGGCCCACCAAGGCGACGAUCCGUAGCUGGUCUGAGAGGAUGUUAAGGCAGAAUGGAACUGGGAGACGGUCCAGAUUCCUAUGGGCAGCAGCAGUAGGUAAUAUUUGACGAUGUGCGCAAGCCUGGUCCAGCCAUACCGCGUGGGUUAAGAAGGCCUUCGGGUUGUGAAGCCGUUUUGUUGAGAAAGAAAAGCAGCAGGUUAAUACACCGCUGUUCUGACGGUACCAAAAGAAUAAGCACCGGCUAACUUCGUG